GACGAACGCUGGCGGCGUGCUUAACACAUGCAAGUCGAACGAAGAGCGAUGGAAGCUUGCUUCUAUCAAUCUUAGUGGCGAACGAGUGAGUAACGCGUAAUCAACCUGCCCUUCAGAGGGGGACAACAGUUGGAAACGACUGCUAAUACCGCAUACGAUCUAAUCUCGGCAUCGAGGAUAGAUGAAAGGUGGCCUCUACAUGUAAGCUAUCACUGAAGGAGGGGAUUGCGUCUGAUUAGCUAGUUGGAGGGGUAACGGCCCACCAAGGCGAUGAUCAGUAGCCGGUCUGAGAGGAUGAACGGCCACAUUGGGACUGAGACACGGCCCAGACUCCUACGGGAGGCAGCAGUGGGGAAUCUUCCGCAAUGGACGAAAGUCUGACGGAGCAACGCCGCGUGAGUGAUGACGGCCUUCGGGUUGUAAAGCUCUGUUAAUCGGGACGAAAGGCCUUCUUGCGAAUAGUGAGAAGGAUUGACGGUACCGGAAUAGAAAGCCACGGCUAACUACGUG
rnacentral:rRNA from 1 species